AUGGGUAACUCACAGGCCUCUCCCUUGUCCGCCUCCUCUGCCAGCUUCGUCAUGGCCUCCAGGGCCUUCUCGAAGCAGGCGCUGGACGAACUGCGCGCGCACUUCUCCUCGCUCGCCGCGCAGUCGGGGACCCAGGGGCGCGCCAUAUCCCGCCCCGUUUUCCUUGAUUAUUUCGGGGUACGUGGGGCGCUCGGCGAUAGGCUAUUCCAGUUGGUGGCGAAGGAGAGCAGCGUGGAAGAUGGAGUCACCUUCGAGGGUUUGAUUAUCACCAAAGCAACAUAUGAAAGGGGAACUAAAGAUGAAGCCGAUGAGUUCAUUUUUCAACUGUGCGAUGUGAUGGGAGAUAGUAUCUUAACAAGGUAUUUCUUGAAUGUGCUGGUAGAAUUGAGUCUUCUUCUGAUAUGUUGGUCUGAUCUGGAAGCUGUAUUUGUGUCCAUUCAUGAAACCAUAUUUGCAGAUAAUAAUGAAGCCAAGGAAGGUUCUAACAAGAGUACAUUUGAAGCAUUUCUCAACUCUGCGGUAUUUUCGAAGGAUGCUGAAGGGGUCUCUGAGAAGUCUAUGUCAUUAUCAGACUUUAGAAACUGGUGUAUUGUCAUGCCAAAACUGAGGAAAUUCCUUGGAAGUUUGUUGAUGCCCCCUGACUCAGGCAGAGCCGGCUUCCAGAUACCUCUACUUCAUUAUCCAGAAAACAUCUCCUCCGAGUUGCUACUCUUAAAUAAAGAGUAUGCUUGGCAUAUAGGAGGUGGCUUCUCUCAACAUGAUGUGCAAGAGUGGAAGCUUCUAUAUCACAGUUCUCUUCAUGGACAAAGCUUCAACACUUUCUUAGGCAAUGUGACGAAUGGAGAUGUACAGACUGUUUUGGUUAUUAAAGAUGCAGAAGGUUCCAUUUAUGGUGCAUAUGCAUCACAACCAUGGGAAAGGCACAGUGAUUUUUAUGGUGACAUGAAGACAUUCCUUUUCAAGUUAUAUCCCGAAGCGUCCAUAUUUCGCCCUACAGGAGCAAACAAAAGUUUGCAAUGGUGUGCUGUAAACUUCACCUCUGAGAACAUUCCAAAUGGCAUCGGCUUUGGAGGCAAGCCACAUCACUUUGGCCUCUUCCUCUCUGCGGGUUUCGAUCAAGGGCACUCAUUUACCUCCAGCACAUUCACCAAUCCUCCCCUUUCCAACACGAGCAGGUUCAGACCAGAAGUUAUUGAAUGUUGGGGGAUACAAGUGAAGGGAUCAAAUGAUGAAAAGCCGGAGCUUGUCAAGGGGACGGUCCUUGAGAGAUUCAAGGAGGAUCGGAACAUGCUGAAGCUGAUUGGUAUGGCGAGUGCGAGUGACUGA
rnacentral:rRNA from 1 species